rnacentral:rRNA from 1 species
GACGUAGGGGGCCAGCGUUGUUCGGAAUUACUGGGUGUAAAGGGUCCGUAGGCGGUGUGGCAAGUCGGGAGUGAAAUCUCUGGGCUCAACCCAGAGUCUGCUUCCGAAACUGCUGUGCUUGAGUGUGGGAGAGGCGCGUGGAAUUGCAGGUGUAGCGGUGAAAUGCGUAGAUAUCUGCAGGAACACCCGUGGCGAAAGCGGCGCGCUGGACCACUACUGACGCUGAGGAACGAAAGCUAGGGGAGCAAACAGG